UUGAACGCUGGCGGCAUGCUUUACACAUGCAAGUCGAACGGUAGACCCUUUCGGGGGUUGAGAGUGGCGAACGGGUGAGUAAUGCAUCGGAACAUACCCAGUCGUGGGGGAUAACGUAGCGAAAGUUACGCUAAUACCGCAUGAGUCCUGAGGGGGAAAGCAGGGGAUCUUCGGACCUUGUGCGAAUGGAGCGGCCGAUGUCAGAUUAGCUAGUUGGUGGGGUAAAGGCCCACCAAGGCGACGAUCUGUAGCGGGUCUGAGAGGAUGAUCCGCCACACUGGGACUGAGACACGGCCCAGACUCCUACGGGAGGCAGAAGUGGGGAAUUUUGGACAAUGGGCGCAAGCCUGAUCCAGCCAUGCCGCGUGCGGGACGAAGGCCUUCGGGUUGUAAACCGCUUUCAGCCGGAAAGAAAUCGUCAAGGCUAAUAUCCUUGAUGGAUGACGGUACCGGAAGAAGAAGCACCGGCUAACUACGU
rnacentral:rRNA from 1 species